rnacentral:lncRNA from 1 species
AGAGACUGUUGGCGUAUGAGUUUAUGCCUCGUGGAAGCUUGGAGAACCACCUCUUCAGAAGUAUGUAGCAGCUAUAUUGUCUAUGAAUGAUUUUUCACUGUAGAAUAUUCAGUUUAAGGCAUCAUAAAUGUUCACCAGCAAACUAUGAUAAGUUGGGUUUCAGUCGUUGCUAUAUAUAUCUUCUAGAGGUAUUGAGUUAGAAUAUACAACAAAUAUCAUCUCUGGUCUAUUGUAGAUUGGAGUUCCAAAAAUAAUGGAUCUGCCAUCUACUUUAGAAAACAUUGACCUCUUAGACUGGACUUGAAUUACUUCUUGGUGUUGAUAUACUGCAUAUUUCUUAUAGCUAUAUGCUCUGAUCAAGGGUUUUAUGUUUUCAAAUAACACUGUAACUCUGUUUGUUGCAAAUUAUGCAGGAUCGUUGCCUCUUCCGUGGUCCAUAAGGAUGAAAAUUGCACUAGGUGCUGCAAAAGGUCUUGCAUUUCUCCAUGAAGAGGCAGAAAGGCCUGUGAUAUAUCGGGAUUUCAAAACCUCCAAUAUCCUACUAGAUGCAGUAUGUGCCAAAAACUUCACCUCAGUGAAGUUUUCUAUUUACCCCCCCCCCCCAAAAAAAAAGAAAAAAAGCAAGAAUUAUUUCUAUGGAAUGGUUUACACCUAAUAAUAUGCCGUUACAGGACUAUAAUGCAAAGCUUUCUGAUUUUGGGCUUGCUAAAGAUGGUCCCGAGGGAGACAAAACCCAUGUAUCAACCCGUGUGAUGGGAACAUAUGGCUAUGCAGCCCCUGAAUAUGUAAUGACUGGUAAGCUUUAAUAGAAAGGAGAUGCUGGAUUAAGUUGGCCACUCUACCCUUCCCUUCCUUAUUUUAUAUGCUCUCUCAACUUUAUACUUGACAGUUAAAAGAUAUGCAAGGUAGCUGUAACCUGAUUUGUCUGCUUUAUGAUGUUUCUUAUUUGCAUUUUUUAACAGCAUGCAGUAUUCUUUUUAAUUUUUACGCACUUGGGCUCAUGCGAACUCUUCUUCCUCCUUUGGCUUGAUUCUUGAAUCUCUAAUCGUUAUUGGGUUCUUUAUAUGUUACCUGACCUUUUAGGAGCCACUGUUAAGUGUAAUAGUAAGAAAUUUAGUGGUUUAACGUGUAACUGUGUAUUGAAAGCCUUACCUCCUUGAGAUAGGCAGUUAAAGAAAAUCAGAAACUCUGUCAGAUGCAGAUACUUAUCGCACUUUGGCUGAUGAACAAUGAACUAUUUUCUGGUGUAACUGCUUGUAGAAUGCAGUUGCAUGCUCCUUAAAUGGAAUCUUGGCCUGCUGACAUCUCCGUCCCAUUGAAGCAGUAUCUAUUUAACAGGAGUGGGGGCAGCUCGAGUUUAUGAUAUCAGUUAAUAAUUUAAGAUGUUUUUCAGGGACAUCAUUGGAUUACCUGGCAUGUUAGAAACUUUUUCACCGUCAAUGUGGAUUUUGCAGUUAGUUUCGUUGAUGACCUCUAAAAUUUCUUCUUUAUAGAUUUAUUGUAAUACAUCUUUUUGGCCUACUCAACUAACUUGGAGAUGUCAAGAAAUGCUUAUCUGUAUGAAAAAGGAGCACUUUAUUUAGUUUUUCCUUCUCUAAUUCAAACAAAACAUAAUUCUAUAUCAGGACAUCUUACCUCGAGAAGUGACGUCUACAGUUUUGGUGUGGUUCUACUUGAAAUGUUGACUGGUAGAAGAUCCAUGGACAAAAACCGACCUAAUGGAGAACACAAUCUUGUGGAAUGGGCUCGACCUCAUCUUGGUGAGAGAAGAAGAUUCUAUA